AUGUUCUCCAUGGUGCUUCAGCUGAUGGAUGAACAGGGUAAGACUGGGUACAAGGGAGGAGCACACCCUCUGAUCCUAGGUACACACCAUAAGGAACGUAUCCCUAGGGAAGGUGCUGCCGAGCUGGCUCCUGGGAAAGGUGUCAAAGGGAAGAAGAGGCAGAGGGAGCCUAGACGCCUAGAAGGAAGACCUCAGGCAACAUGGUUGUCUACACAGCUGGAAAGUUCUGCCAGUAGCUGGAAGACAAAUCAGGCUUGUCCUGGACUUUUUCUACAGCUGCUCUCUUCUUCCUCCACAGGCUCCUUGGACACCAAGGUCACCCAGAGACCUAGAUAUGUGGUCACAGCAAAGGAACAGAAAGCAAAGAUGGAUUGUGUCCCUAUAAAAGGACAUAGUUAUGUUUACUGGUAUCAUAAGAAGCUGGAAGAAGAGCUCAAGUUUUUGGUUUACCUUCAGAAUGGAGAAAUUAUUCAGAAAUCAGAAGUGAUCAAUGAGCGAUUUUUAGCCCAAUGCCCCGAAAACUCACCCUGUGCCUUGGAGAUCCAGUCCACUGAGUCAAAGGAUGAAGGACUGUAUUUCUGUGCCAGCAGCGAAGCCACAGUGUCAAAUGUUAGCCCUUCUUAGAACAC